CCCUUAGGUGUCCUGGGCCGCACGCGUGCUACACUGACGCAUACAGCGAGCACUUUCCAGUUCCGAGAGGCUACUGGUAAUCAUCAAUAUGCGUCGUGAUGGGGAUAGAUCUUUGGAAUUCUGGAUCUUGAACGAGGAAUGCCUAGUAAUCGCAGGUCAUUAGCCUGCGAUGAUUAAGUCCCUGCCCUUUGUACACACCGCCCGUCGCUACUACCGAUUUCGAGUGGUCAGGUGAAUCUUUCGGACUGUGGGCGCCCUUGAGGUGUUCGCGGAAAGUCAGGUAAAUCUUAUCACUUAGAGGAAGUAAAAGUCGUAACA
rnacentral:rRNA from 1 species